CGCGGGGUGGAGCAGCUUGGUAGCUCGUCGGGCUCAUAACCCGAAGGUCAUAGGUUCAAAUCCUAUCCCCGCAACCA
rnacentral:tRNA from 1 species